rnacentral:rRNA from 1 species
CGGGAAGGCCAUGCGGCGACGCAGAGCGGAACCCGAAAAACCCUGUCUCAGUUCGGAUUGGAGUCUGCAACCCGACUCCAUGAAGCUGGAUUCGCUAGUAAUCGCGCAUCAGCCACGGCGCGGUGAAUACGUUCCCGGGCCUUGUACACACCGCCCGUCAAGCCAUGGAAGCCGGGAGUGCCUGAAGUGCGUGAGCGCAAGCAGCGCCCUAAGGUAAAACCGGUGACUGGGGCUAAGUCGUAACAAGGUACC